GACAGAGGGUGCAAACGUUGUUCGGAAUUACUGGGCGUAAAGCGCGCGUAGGCGGCUUUGCAAGUCGAUUGUGAAAUCCCCGGGCUUAACCUGGGAACUGCAUUCGAGACUGCAUUGCUAGAGUAUGGGAGAGGGAGGUGGAAUUUCCGGUGUAGCGGUGAAAUGCGUAGAUAUCUGGAGGAACACCGGUGGCGAAGGCGGCAUCCUGGACCGGCAUUGACGCUGAGGAGCGAAAGCUAGGGGAGCAAACGGGG
rnacentral:rRNA from 1 species